AGAGUUUGAUCCUGGCUCAGGACGAACGCUGGCGGCGUGCCUAACACAUGCAAGUCGAGCGGAGACAGUGAGUAGCUUGCUAUGAGCUGUUUUAGCGGCGGACGGGUGAGUAACGCGUGAGCAACCUUUCCCAGACAGGGGAAUAACACACCGAAAGGUGUACUAAUACCGCAUAAGACCACGGGAUCACAUGGUUCUGAGGUAAAAGAUUUAUCGGUUUGGGGUGGGCUCGCGUCCGAUUAGGUAGUUGGUGAGGUAACGGCCCACCAAGCCGACGAUCGGUAGCCGACCUGAGAGGGUGAUCGGCCACAUUGGGACUGAGACACGGCCCAAACUCCUACGGGAGGCAGCAGUGGGGAAUAUUGCACAAUGGGGGAAACCCUGAUGCAGCGACGCCGCGUGAGCGAAGAAGUAUUUCGGUAUGUAAAGCUCUAUCAGCAGGGAAGAAAAUGACGGUACCUGACUAAGAAGCCCCGGCUAACUACGUGCCAGCAGCCGCGGUAAUACGUAGGGGGCAAGCGUUGUCCGGAAUAAUUGGGCGUAAAGGGCGCGUAGGCGGCUCGGUAAGUCUGGAGUGAAAGUCCUGCUUUUAAGGUGGGAAUUGCUUUGGAUACUGUCGGGCUUGAGUGCAGGAGAGGUUAGUGGAAUUCCCAGUGUAGCGGUGAAAUGCGUAGAGAUUGGGAGGAACACCAGUGGCGAAGGCGACUAACUGGACUGUAACUGACGCUGAGGCGCGAAAGUGUGGGGAGCAAACAGGAUUAGAUACCCUGGUAGUCCACACUGUAAACGAUGAAUGCUAGGUGUAGGGGGUAUCGACCCCUUCUGUGCCGCAGUCAACACAAUAAGCAUUCCGCCUGGGGAGUACGGCCGCAAGGUUGAAACUCAAAGGAAUUGACGGGGGCCCGCACAAGCAGCGGAGCAUGUGGUUUAAUUCGACGCAACGCGAAGAACCUUACCAGGUCUUGACAUCCACUUAAACUUACAGAGAUGUAAGGUGUGCUUGCACAAAGUGAGACAGGUGGUGCAUGGUUGUCGUCAGCUCGUGUCGUGAGAUGUUGGGUUAAGUCC
rnacentral:rRNA from 1 species